GCCAAGUCUGCAGCCGAGCCCCCCAAUAUUCCACACAUUGACCCGGUUACAGCCUGACCUCGCAGCCCCUUCGGAUUAGCCCGGCGCGGCCUCCCUGGCGCCCGGGGCCCUCCCUGCGUGCCCCCCACGAGCGCCCUGCCCUCGCUCCCCUGUGCACGUUUGUUGUUGUAGCGGAGCGAAAAAGAGACAGUUAACCGGAUGAAACUUUUUUUUAGCUAAUUUUGGGAAGUGACUUCACUUUGCGAAUCGGGGAGGAAGUCCUAUCUCUCUCUCUCUCUCUCUCUCUCUCUCUCUCUCUCUGUCUCGCGCUCUCCUCUCCUCUCCCCUCUGCUCUCCCUCGUCUUCCCUCCCCCCACACCCCCUCUUCCUCCCCUCUGCUGGUCCUGCUUUUCGCAUCACACACACACACUAUAUAAAUACACCCGGAGAUGCCCAGAUACAUUCAUGCGCGGCGCACACAGGAUACUUGCUCCUGGGAGAUAAGGGCGAGCUGGGAACAAUGCCGGCGUCCACGCCCGGCGCCCGCGCCCUGAUUCCCGCAGUCUGCACCCACCCGCCCCCAACACCUUCCCCCAAAGUCCAAAACCAAGCGCCUUUGGCCUCCUUCCUUUUCCCGGGGCCGUUGGCCGAAGGUGGCCCUCCUGACUCAUUCACUUUCCGUUUCUUCCCACAGAUACGUUCAUUAAUGCUUUUUCCAGCCGGAGGCAAACUUAUUGGGGGUGGGGUGGGGUGUUGGGGGGGGGGAGAGUUUACUCGGGCUGGGGAUAACCUGGAGCCUACAGCCCUGGAAGAUCUCGACUCAGACCGAAGCAAACCAACCAUUAAAAAAAAAAAAAAAAAAAGAAAGAAAGAAAGAAAGAAAAAAGAAAAGCAUCCAAUGGGAGUUUUUCCACCGGGGCCCUCGGCUGCCGACGCGGACUCGGGGCGGUUUCGGAAGGACCCCGCCGUCGGGGGCGCGGACCCGGCUCCCCGCGCAUUGUUAGCAGCAGGGCGCCCCCGGGGCAGCGCGUCCCGGCCCUUCGCUCCUGGAGAGCUCCCGGCGCCCGCCCAGGGCCGGGACCCGCGGCACCCCGGGCCACCUACCCGCGCCGACUAGGGGCAGACCCCAGGCGCUUUACCUGGACCAGACGGCCCGGGUCCCGGCGCCCGGCCAGAGCCCCCCCAGGCAGCGCUACUCAGCGCCCCAAGAAACCGCAGCACGUCGCCUCCACACUGGUCAGCAGGUCUCCAGGGCGCAGCACGCAAGAUCGCCGCACAGACUCAGACUGCGCCCCCACCGUGAGCCCCCGGGGUCAGUGCUCGGGACCAUCACCCCCACCCAGCCGGGAGGCCAGCCUGGCCGGCCCCCGCCACCCGGAGACCUCCCCGCGGCCCCCCUGCAGCGCCGCCGCCGAUCGCCCGGGCUGGGGCAGCCUCCGGAGUCCGGGCUCAGCGAGGGGACCCCCCCCACCACCACCACACCUCCGGGCGCUCUCGGCCUGACUCCCUUCUCCCCAACCUCCAAAACAGGUUACCUUGUCCACGCUCUCCAGACCACGCUUUGGACUUUUUCAGUUUUAUUUAAGAGUCCACCCGGGGAAGGAGGAAAAAAAAAAUCCAGAGGAGAUCCGAAUCAAUUGGAAAGGAAAAAAAAAAAUUCAAAAGGGUGUCCACAGCAGCGAAAAAAGGAGGCUCCACCCAGCAUGGACCCAAUGUGGGGCCCGUACCCACGGCCCUGAGACCAAGACCUGAAGUGAGACCAAGAGUUGGCCGCUUAACCAACUGUGCCAUCCAGGUGCCCCUUAUUCUUGUUGAGUUUUGGGAGUUCUUCAUAUAUUCUGGAAACACAUCUGUUGUCACAUUUAUCUUUGGAAAUAUUUUUUUCCAUUUUGUGUCUUGUCUUCUGAUUCUCUUAACCGUGUCUUUCUCUGAGCAAAAGUUUUAAAUUUUGAUAAAGUCUAGUUUAUAUUUUUUCUUUUAUGAGUCUUGCUUUGGCUGUCAUAUCUAAAAACUCUUUACCAUACCUAAAGUCAAGCAGGUAUUCGCCUAUGUUAUCUUUUAGACCUUGGAUAGCCUUGAACUUUACAUUUCAGCCUCUGACGUAUUUUGAAAUAAUUUUUGUAUAAGAUGUGCAAUAUUUGUAAUGGUUCAUUAUUUAAUUACUUAAUAUUUUACAUACAAACAUCUAACUGUUCCAGAGUUGUUUGUUGAAAAGACUAUCUUUUCUUUAUUGAAUUUCGUUUGUACCUGUCUCAAAAAUCAGUUGACUAUAUUUGUGUGUUUAUGAGUUCUCUAUUCUGUUCUAUUGAUCUAUAUGUCAAUACCAUAUUGCCUUGACUAUGGUAGCUUUGUACUGAGUCUGGAAAUCAUAGUGUGAAUGGGUAACGUGAGUCCUGUGACUUUGUUCUUUUGCAGGUUUGUUCCGGCGACUCUAGUACCUUUGUCUUUCCAAAUAAAUUUUAGAAUCACCUUGUUGAACUCCAUAAGACUACUGGGGUUAUGUUGGGGAUUGUGAUGAACCUAUAGUAAAACAGAGGGAACUGACAUUUUAACAAUAUCAAGAAACGUGAAAUUUGCAAGUAUUUUCUAAGGAAUUUAUAUGACAUUGGUGUUCAUUGCUCCAUCUGACCUGAUUGUACUAUUUUUGCUCAACUUUGUCACUAGUGGCUAAGAUUAGCCACAAAUAUCAGUAUUUAACAUUACAUAAAUGCUUCAGUACUGAAACAUAUAAACAUAAAUAUACCCUUGAUUAUUAAGGGAUUAGGCUAAUAAUUCUCCAAAAAAUCAUGCAAUGCUAUACAUACACAAAGACUUACUUGUGCCUAUAGUUUUAUUAUAUUUGCAAUUAAAAAGAAACUUUCUUUUUUUAACUACUGGAAAACUCCUUGAAAAGACCAAAUAUGUAGAAAUUUGAGUACCUAUUAAGGGCUCAGAAAUUUGAUUGACUAACAGAGCUGUCAAGAAUGAUUUCACAAUUACAAUUAGAUUUCCACCACUAACCGUACUAUGAAGCAAUAUAGUGUAGCGGGUAAGAUUCCAGCUUUGGGUCAAAUAGACCUAGGUUUGUGUAAUGGCUCCUCAUUAACAAAGAGUUCUAAUAUGUCAAAAAGUCCUAAUAAAUACCAACUUAUUUUUUGUAUUAAAGUACUCAGCACAAUGUCUGGAACUUGAUUCCCAAUAAAUACUGACUAUACUAAUAAAUGGCUUUUUAUCUUAAA